GCAAUCAUAGCGGAGGAAAAGAAAUACCAAUGAUUUCCCUAGUAACGGCGAGUGAAGAGGAAAGAGCUCAAAGUUGGAAACCUGUUUGGCUUAGCCAAACCGGGAUUGUAAACUGUAGAAGUGUUUUCCAGACACGCCUGGUAAAAAAGUCCUUUGGAACAGGGCAUCAUAGAGGGUGAGAAUCCCGUCUUUGGCCAGAGCUGUUGUCUUUUGUGAUACAUUUUCAAAGAGUCAGGUUGUUUGGGAAUGCAGCCUAAAUUGGGUGGUAAAUCUCACCUAAAGCUAAAUAUUUGCGAGAGACCGAUAGCGAACAAGUACCGUGAGGGAAAGAUGAAAAGAACUUUGAAAAGAGAGUUAAACAGUAUGUGAAAUUGUUAAAAGGGAACCGUUUGGAGCCAGACUGGCUUGACUGUAAUCAAUCUAGGCUUCGGCCUGGAUGCACUUGCGGUUUAUGCCUGCCAACGACAAUUUUUUUUGAGGGAAAAAACUAUUAGGAAUGUGGCCCUUCCUCGGAGGGGUGUUAUAGCCUUUUAGAAAAUACCUUGAAUUGGAUUGAGGAACGCAGUGAAUGCCUUUAGGCAAGAUUGCUAGGCGCUUUCGCUAAUAAAUGCUAGAAUUUCUGCUUCGGGUGGUGCUAGUGUUUAAAGGAGAAACUCGCUUGGUAUAUUUUUUAUUCGCUUAGGUUGUUGGCUUAAUGACUCUAAAUGACCCGUCUUGAAACACGGACCAAGGAGUCCACCAUUAGUGCGAGUAUUUGGGUGCCAAACCCAUAUGCGUAAGGAAACUGAUUGAUACGAAAUCUUUAAGAUGGCAGUAUCACCCGGCGAAGACGUUUUAUACUGAACCGACCGAGGUAAAGCACUAAUGAUGGGACCCGAAAGAUGGUGAACUAUGCCUGAAUAGGGUGAAGCCGGAGGAAACUCCGGUGGGAGGCUCGUAGCGAUUCUGACGUGCAAAUCGAUCGUCAAAUUUGGGUAUAGGGGCGAAGACUAAUCGAAACCAUCUAGUAGCUGGUUCUGCGAG
rnacentral:rRNA from 1 species